rnacentral:rRNA from 1 species
GACGAACGCUGGCGGCGUGGAUUAGGCAUGCAAGUCGAACGGUAUCAUCCUUUCGGGGGUGAGAGAGUGGCGAACUGGUGAGUAACACGUAGGUUAUCUACCCUCAAGACGGGGACAACCCAGGGAAACUUGGGCUAAUACCGGAUGUGAGCAACUUUUAGUUGUUUGAAAGGUGGCGUAAGCUGUCGCUUGGGGAUGAGCCUGCGUCCUAUUAGUUAGUUGGUGAGGUAACGGCUCACCUAGGCAAUGAUAGGUAGGCGGCCUUAACGGGUGGUCGCCCACACUGGGAUUGAGAUACGGCCCAGACUCCUACGGGAGGCAGCAGUCGAGAAUAGUCUACAAUGGUCGGAAGACUGAUAGUGCGACGCCGCGUGAACGAUGAAUCCCUUCGGGGUGUAAAGUUCUUUUAUAUGUGAGCAGUGCUUCUUAUAUUAACAGUAUGGGGAGAGAGAUAUUAGCAUAUGAAUAAGCAACGGCUAACUCCGUGCCAGCAGCCG